CAGGUCGUAAAAAUGGUUGUGCUGUGUUGAUUUGAGCAAUGUUCAUAUCACAGCCAUUUUGACGAGUUUGA
rfam:Anopheles minimus strain MINIMTS1 unplaced genomic scaffold supercont1.12, whole genome shotgun sequence.